GACGAACACUGGCGGCAUGCCUAAUACAUGCAAGUCGAACGAGCUUCCGUUGAAUGACGUGCUUGCACUGAUUUCAACAAUGAAGCGAGUGGCGAACUGGCGAGUAACACGUGGGGAAAUCUGCCCAGAAGCAGGGGAUAACACUUGGAAACAGGUGCUAAUACCGUAUAACAACAAAAUCCGCAUGGAUUUUGUUUGAAAGGUGGCUUCGGCUAUCACUU
rnacentral:rRNA from 1 species